GCGGGUGUGGUGUACGGUACACUGCUGUCCGCAUUUAUGCUGGCUUAUGCAUCUGUACAUGAGUAGCAGAUCCGGGUUCGACUCCCGGCGCCCGCA